UACGGAGGGGGCUAGCGUUGUUCGGAAUUACUGGGCGUAAAGCGCGCGUAGGCGGACCUGCAAGUCGGGGGUGAAAGCCCGGGGCUCAACUCCGGAAUUGCCUUUAAGACUGCAUCGCUCGAAUCAUGGAGAGGUGAGUGGAAUUCCGAGUGUAGAGGUGAAAUUCGUAGAUAUUCGGAAGAACACCAGUGGCGAAGGCGACUCACUGGACAUGUAUUGACGCUGAGGUACGAAAGCGUGGGGAGCAAACAGG
rnacentral:rRNA from 1 species